GAUGAACGCUGACAGAAUGCUUAACACAUGCAAGUCGAUUCAAUUUACCUUCGGGUAUUGAGGAUGGCGGACGGGUGAGUAACGCGUAAGGAACUUGCCUCUUGGUCUGGGACAACUGUUGGAAACGACAGCUAAUACCGGAUAUUAUGAGAUUCUCGCAUGGGAAACUUAUGAAAGCUAUAUGCGCCAAGAGAGAGCCUUGCGUUCCAUUAGCUAGUUGGUGGGGUAACGGCCCACCAAGGCGACGAUGGAUAGCCGGCCUGAGAGGGUGAACGGCCACAAGGGGACUGAGACACGGCCCUUACUCCUACGGGAGGCAGCAGUGGGGAAUAUUGGACAAUGGGCCACAAGCCUGAUCCAGCAAUUCUGUGUGCACGAUGAAGGUCUUCGGAUUGUAAAGUGCUUUCAGUUGGGAAGAAGAAAGUGACGGUACC
rnacentral:rRNA from 1 species